rnacentral:rRNA from 1 species
UUAAGCGACUAAGCGUACACGGUGGAUGCCCUGGCAGUCAGAGGCGAUGAAGGACGUGCUAAUCUGCGAUAAGCGUCGGUGAGGUGAUAUGAACCGUUAUAACCGGCGAUUUCCGAAUGGGGAAACCCAGUGUGUUUCGACACACUAUCAUUAACUGAAUCCAUAGGUUAAUGAGGCGAACCGGGGGAACUGAAACAUCUAAGUACCCCGAGGAAAAGAAAUCAACCGAGAUUCCCCCAGUAGCGGCGAGCGAACGGGGAGGAGCCCAGAGCCUGAAUCAGUGUGUGUGUUAGUGGAAGCGUCUGGAAAGGCGCGCGAUACAGGGUGACAGCCCCGUACACAAAAAUGCACAUACUGUGAGCUCGAUGAGUAGGGCGGGACACGUGGUAUCCUGUCUGAAUAUGGGGGGACCAUCCUCCAAGGCUAAAUACUCCUGACUGACCGAUAGUGAACCAGUACCGUGAGGGAAAGGCGAAAAGAACCCCGGCGAGGGGAGUGAAAAAGAACCUGAAACCGUGUACGUACAAGCAGUGGGAGCCUCUUAAUGGGGUGACUGCGUACCUUUUGUAUAAUGGGUCAGCGACUUAUAUUCUGUAGCAAGGUUAACCGAAUAGGGGAGCCGAAGGGAAACCGAGUCUUAACUGGGCGUUAAGUUGCAGGGUAUAGACCCGAAACCCGGUGAUCUAGCCAUGGGCAGGUUGAAGGUUGGGUAACACUAACUGGAGGACCGAACCGACUAAUGUUGAAAAAUUAGCGGAUGACUUGUGGCUGGGGGUGAAAGGCCAAUCAAACCGGGAGAUAGCUGGUUCUCCCCGAAAGCUAUUUAGGUAGCGCCUCGUGAAUUCAUCUCCGGGGGUAGAGCACUGUUUCGGCAAGGGGGUCAUCCCGACUUACCAACCCGAUGCAAACUGCGAAUACCGGAGAAUGUUAUCACGGGAGACACACGGCGGGUGCUAACGUCCGUCGUGAAGAGGGAAACAACCCAGACCGCCAGCUAAGGUCCCAAAGUCAUGGUUAAGUGGGAAACGAUGUGGGAAGGCCCAGACAGCCAGGAUGUUGGCUUAGAAGCAGCCAUCAUUUAAAGAAAGCGUAAUAGCUCACUGGUCGAGUCGGCCUGCGCGGAAGAUGUAACGGGGCUAAACCAUGCACCGAAGCUGCGGCAGCGACACUAUGUGNNNNNNNNNNGAAGCUGCGGCAGCGACGCUUAUGCGUUGUUGGGUAGGGGAGCGUUCUGUAAGCCUGUGAAGGUGUGCUGUGAGGCAUGCUGGAGGUAUCAGAAGUGCGAAUGCUGACAUAAGUAACGAUAAAGCGGGUGAAAAGCCCGCUCGCCGGAAGACCAAGGGUUCCUGUCCAACGUUAAUCGGGGCAGGGUGAGUCGACCCCUAAGGCGAGGCCGAAAGGCGUAGUCGAUGGGAAACAGGUUAAUAUUCCUGUACUUGGUGUUACUGCGAAGGGGGGACGGAGAAGGCUAUGUUGGCCGGGCGACGGUUGUCCCGGUUUAAGCGUGUAGGCUGGUUUUCCAGGCAAAUCCGGAAAACCAAGGCUGAGGCGUGAUGACGAGGCACUACGGUGCUGAAGCGACAAAUGCCCUGCUUCCAGGAAAAGCCUCUAAGCAUCAGGUAACAUCAAAUCGUACCCCAAACCGACACAGGUGGUCAGGUAGAGAAUACCAAGGCGCUUGAGAGAACUCGGGUGAAGGAACUAGGCAAAAUGGUGCCGUAACUUCGGGAGAAGGCACGCUGAUAUGUAGGUGAAGCGACUUGCUCGUGGAGCUGAAAUCAGUCGAAGAUACCAGCUGGCUGCAACUGUUUAUUAAAAACACAGCACUGUGCAAACACGAAAGUGGACGUAUACGGUGUGACGCCUGCCCGGUGCCGGAAGGUUAAUUGAUGGGGUUAGCGGCAACGCGAAGCUCUUGAUCGAAGCCCCGGUAAACGGCGGCCGUAACUAUAACGGUCCUAAGGUAGCGAAAUUCCUUGUCGGGUAAGUUCCGACCUGCACGAAUGGCGUAAUGAUGGCCAGGCUGUCUCCACCCGAGACUCAGUGAAAUUGAACUCGCUGUGAAGAUGCAGUGUACCCGCGGCAAGACGGAAAGACCCCGUGAACCUUUACUAUAGCUUGACACUGAACAUUGAGCCUUGAUGUGUAGGAUAGGUGGGAGGCUUUGAAGUGUGGACGCCAGUCUGCAUGGAGCCGACCUUGAAAUACCACCCUUUAAUGUUUGAUGUUCUAACGUGGGCCCCUUACCGGGGUUGCGGACAGUGUCUGGUGGGUAGUUUGACUGGGGCGGUCUCCUCCUAAAGAGUAACGGAGGAGCACGAAGGUUGGCUAAUCCUGGUCGGACAUCAGGAGGUUAGUGCAAUGGCAUAAGCCAGCUUGACUGCGAGCGUGACGGCGCGAGCAGGUGCGAAAGCAGGUCAUAGUGAUCCGGUGGUUCUGAAUGGAAGGGCCAUCGCUCAACGGAUAAAAGGUACUCCGGGGAUAACAGGCUGAUACCGCCCAAGAGUUCAUAUCGACGGCGGUGUUUGGCACCUCGAUGUCGGCUCAUCACAUCCUGGGGCUGAAGUAGGUCCCAAGGGUAUGGCUGUUCGCCAUUUAAAGUGGUACGCGAGCUGGGUUUAGAACGUCGUGAGACAGUUCGGUCCCUAUCUGCCGUGGGCGCUGGAGAACUGAGGGGGGCUGCUCCUAGUACGAGAGGACCGGAGUGGACGCAUCACUGGUGUUCGGGUUGUCAUGCCAAUGGCACUGCCCGGUAGCUAAAUGCGGAAGAGAUAAGUGCUGAAAGCAUCUAAGCACGAAACUUGCCCCGAGAUGAGUUCUCCCUGACUCCUUGAGAGUCCUGAAGGAACGUUGAAGACGACGACGUUGAUAGGCCGGGUGUGUAAGCGCAGCGANNNNNNNNNNUGCGGAAGAGAUAAGUGCUGAAAGCAU